rnacentral:misc_RNA from 1 species
UCUCUCUGAGCUCUGGGAUGGAGAACUGUAAUGUUCUUAAUUAAUUUUCUUAUACUAGAAAUCCAAAUAUUAGUGUAUUCUUCACUAUUUUAAUUUUUAAAAAAAUUAGUUAAACUUAUUUGGUUUUCAAGCACUGGUAUGAAUAUGAAAGUAAAAUUCUCAUAAAUCCUUACAAUGUAAAAGAGGGCUGGCGUUUUCGUCCAGAAAUUUGAGUGGCUUUUUACAAAUGAUGUCUGAUGAGUGAGCCUAAAUCUUGUUGGAUCUGUACAAUUAAUGAAAUUUCUUUAUCUUUGAAAAGAAAUUACUGUUAAAUGUUUAAAAGGAUAUAUGAAUUAGUUAUAGUACAUAUAAAGGUGGUAUUGAGAAAUAUUUUAAAAAAUAGUUAAAUGAAGUUGUAAUUUAAAAAGAAUAAUAUUAUUGGAUAGAAUAAGAAUACAAUUCUAUGAAUCACAAAUAGAAAAAUGCAAUCAUGAGUGGAGCACAUACUUCAAUCCUUCAUUAUAUACAAGAAUCAUACCACAAAAAAAGUUAAUGCUUGAUUUUGGAACCCAAUUCGCACACCCUCAUAUUCUAGUAUAUGCAUCCAUCAUUACACAUUCACAAUCAUUGCAAAAAACAAAAAAAAAAUGAACAGGAAAAAGGCAAGUGAGAAGCAAAGAAUUGGACCAAGCCAGACUAGCGAAGAAUUGAUGCAUGAUAUCUUUAAAUAAUACGUGUCUUUUACUUCCAUGAGAAAGAUUCUAUGUGCAGGGUUCAAAAAUGAAAAAAGAAACAAAAUGACAGGCAAGUACAUACUAUAACAUUAUAACAUCCAGUUUCCUAUACAAAAGAAAACUCUUGUUUUGGCCACGAAGAUAAGCCCAAAACUAUAGUCAGAGUCAUAUCCAAGGAAAAUGUACCAGGUAACUGACCAAACUAAGAGUCGCAAACCUUAAUAUCUAUAGUCCUCAUUGAAGAUUGUGUUUGGGUAACUGCUACUCUUGGACACAUCAGGCCUGUGAAUGAGCUUCUCCAAUGCUUCAGUCCCAUUUUCUUCAAUGUAACUCUCAGCAGUAAUUAAAAUGUCAGCUGGCUUUCUGAAGACAUCCUGCGUUCUUGGGACAUACCAUAUAUUAAUGGUUUGUUGUGGGUUAACAAAGAGAGGUCUCACUAAGUGCUCAUAAACAUAUGCAGCGCCACUGAAGUAUGGGAUCACCAACCAGCAUGUGAGAAUAAGCUUCGCAUAUGACCAGAUUGGUAUCCUGCCAUUACAGAUAUAAAAAAUUCCAGCAACGCAACAACAACUUAUCCGCUUGAUGCAUUUCAACUCUUGGUGAAAUUACCAAAACAAAGGCAAAAUUUCUUACAAUUUGAUAUUUUUCCCUAGAAUUUUAUUUCACAUUGAAAUAAUAUAUUGAAUUCGCACCAAAAAUCAACUUACAAUUAAUCACAUGCUGCACCUCAAAAACAAUAGAAAUUAGCGCAACUGAAAAAAUUCUACAGAUAAAAAUAGCACAUUAGGAUUGAUGCACAAUUGACAUAUAGACUCCAAAUUAUGUCGAAAUGCACAUUUAAUGCAGUUUCUACUUCCAAAAUUCACUAAUAAUGAUGCAAAAAACAAACAGAAAACAAG